GAAGCGAGACGGAGACGUUAAGCGAAACCCAAAAAAGUAAGUCUCAGUUCGGAUUGAAGGCUGAAAUUCGCCUUCAUGAAGCCGGAAUUGCUAGUAAUGGCAGGUCAGCAUACUGCCGUGAAUACGUUCCCGGGCCUUGUACACACCGCCCGUCACACCAUGAGAGUUGGGAAUACCCGAAGCCUGUGAGCUAACCGUAAGGGGGCAGCAGUCGAAGGUAGAAUCAAUGAUUGGGGUGAAGUCGUAACAAGGUAAC
rnacentral:rRNA from 1 species